rnacentral:rRNA from 1 species
GGCUCAGGAUGAACGCUGGCGGCGUGCUUAAUACAUGCAAGUCGAACGAAGCGCCUGCGACGGAGUCCCUCGGGUGAAGAUGCUUGUGACUGAGUGGCGGACGGGUGAGUAACGCGUGGGUAACCUGCCUUAUGCAGGGGGACAACAGUUAGAAAUGACUGCUAAUACCGCAUAAGCGCACGAGACCGCAUGGUCAAGUGUGAAAAGAUUUAUCGGCAUAAGAUGGACCCGCGUCUGAUUAGGUAGUUGGUGAGGUAACGGCCCACCAAGCCGACGAUCAGUAGCCGACUUGAGAGAGUGAUCGGCCACAUUGGGACUGAGACACGGCCCAGACUCCUACGGGAGGCAGCAGUAGGGAAUAUUGCACAAUGGGGGAAACCCUGAUGCAGCCGACGCCGCGUGAGUGAUUGAAGUAUCUCGGUACGUAAAGCUCUAUCAGCAGGGAAGAUAAUGACGGUACCUGACUAAGAAGCCCCGGCUAACUACGUGCCAGCCGCCGC